CCCUUAGAUGUCCUGGGCCGCACGCGCGUUACACUGAUGCAUUCAACGAGCUUAUAACCUUGGCCGAGAGGCCUGGGCAAUCUUGUUAACGUGCAUCGUGAUAGGGAUAGAUUAUUGAAAUUAUUAAUCUUGAACGAGGAAUUCCUAGUAAACGCAGAUCAUCAAUCUGCAUUGAUUACGUCCCUGCCCUUUGUACACACCGCCCGUCGCUACUACCGAUUGAAUGGUUUAGUGAGAUCUCUGGAUUGACGCUGGCUAGGGGGCGACCCUUGGCCAGACUGCUCGAGAAACUGCUCAAACUUGAUCAUUUAGAGGAAGUAAAAGUCGUAACA
rnacentral:rRNA from 1 species